rnacentral:rRNA from 1 species
UACGUAGGGUGCGAGCGUUGUCCGGAAUUAUUGGGCGUAAAGGGCUCGUAGGCGGUCUGUCGCGUCGGGAGUGAAAACUCAGGGCUUAACCCUGAGCCUGCUUCCGAUACGGGCAGACUAGAGGUAUGCAGGGGAGAACGGAAUUCCUGGUGUAGCGGUGGAAUGCGCAGAUAUCAGGAGGAACACCGGUGGCGAAGGCGGUUCUCUGGGCAUUACCUGACGCUGAGGAGCGAAAGCGUGGGUAGCGAACAGG